rnacentral:rRNA from 1 species
UACGAACUGUGCAAACGUUAUUCGGAAUCACUGGGCUUAAAGGGCGCGUAGGCGGCGUGGUAAGUCACUUGUGAAAUCUCUGAGCUUAACUCAGAACGGCCGAGUGAUACUGCUGUGCUAGAGUGCAGAAGGGGCAAUCGGAAUUCUUGGUGUAGCGGUGAAAUGCGUAGAUAUCAAGAGGAACACCUGAGGUGAAGACGGGUUGCUGGGCUGGCACUGACGCUGAUGCGCGAAAGCCAGGGGAGCAAACGGG